CUUGUUGCAACAUAGUCUGUCCAGAAAAUGGCUGUCGGGGUAUCAUUAAACGCUACUCUUGCAAGCCCAAAGUCACAGAUCUUCAGCUUGCAGUCUGCAUUUGCUAAGAUAUUUUUUGGUUUUAGAUCCCGAUGAAAGACAUUGGCUGUGUGUAUGUAUUUCAGGCCUCUGAGAAGUUGAUAAAGAAAGAACUGAUAAUGUUCUGGAGUUAAAUCAUCAUUUGCUUUAAUAACUUGGUGUAAGUCAGAUUCCAUCAACUCAAAGACAACAUAUAUGUCUUUAAAUUCCCUUCUGGAAGGAGGCAACAAAAUGUGCUUGAUCUCCACUAUAUCUGGAUGACGCAGGAGCCUAAGAAGUUUAAUCUCUCGAAGUAUGCGGGUGGCAUCAGAAACAUGUUCAAAGAUAUCAUUUAUUUUCUUUAUCGCAACCUUUUCUCCAAUGUGUGUAUCAUAUGCAGAACAAACAACACCAUAGCUUCCUUUACCAAUUACUUCCUCUAUUCUGUACCUGCUCCCUUCUCCAUAUUCAGUGAAGAAGUCCACAUCAACAGAUGACUUCUUUCGUUGAUCAGGAUGCAUCUUAGCAACAAAACAUCAAAAACCUCGACGGUGGUUAUUAAGAAGAGCUUGCACCGCAGCUCCACUCAGAAUGAACAGAAAAUAAAAUUAGUAAAGCCCAGUUUAACCAAGUCCAAAUA
rnacentral:misc_RNA from 1 species